rnacentral:rRNA from 1 species
GCAAGACUGAAACUUAAAGGAAUUGGCGGGAGAGCACAGCAACGGGAGGAGCGUGCGGUUUAAUUGGAUUCAACGCCGGAAAACUCACCAGGAGCGACGGUUACAUGAAGGCCAGGCUGAUGACCUUGCCUGAUUUUCCGAGAGGUGGUGCAUGGCCGCCGUCAGUUCGUACCGUGAGGCGUUCUCUUAAGUGAGAUAACGAACGAGACCCUCGCCCCUAUUUGCCACCCGUCUCUUCGGAGGUGGAGCACUAUAGGGGGACCGCUGGCGCUAAGUCAGAGGAAGGAGAGGUCAACGGUAGGUCAGUAUGCCCCGAAUCUCCUGGGCUACACGCGCGCUACAAAGGACAGGACAAUGGGCUGCAACACCGAGAGGUGAAGCCAAUCCCGAAACCUGUUCGUAGUCCGGAUUGAGGGUUGUAACUCACCCUCAUGAAGCUGGAUUCCGUAGUAAUCGCGGAUCAACAUCCCGCGGUGAAUGUGCCCCUGCUCUUUGCACACACCGCCCGUCAAACCAUCCGAGUUGGGUCCGGAUGAGGGUGCCUCAUUUGGGGCGCUCGAAUCUGGGUUCAGCGAGGGGGGU